GAUCUGCAAUAUUUAUUAUAAUCCCAUGUAGACACAGAAAAUUGUAACGAUCGUGGCAAAUAUAAAGGUAACAGGAAAACGACUCGAUCAAAGUAACGGGAAAGCAGCGAGUGAAGAAUCGAGGAGAGGUGUUUGAAGUUAUUUCAAGACAGAAUGUCAAGGUGCGUCAAGGUAGUAAAAGUGAGGAAAAAGAAAAAGAGAAAGAGGAAGAAUAAUGUUGAAUAAAGACCCGUAGGAGAGAUGUCGAUUGGUACCAGGCGAGCUUGCAGACUGGCUGAAAGCUUUGAGAGAUUUCGUGGAUCAGUGUAAUCCCCACCCUCUAUAUUUUCCCUCCCUCCCGGUACCACGACGAAAAAUCGGCGUAGAUGAAGGAAAGGAGGCGACGGGGAACGAAGAGAAGAGGAGGUGGAGAUUCCUGUACGAAUAACAAUACGAAUAUCAAUGCCAAUCUGUCAGAAGAGAUUUGCAACGAUUCGAGAAAUGAUUUUGGAACGACUACGAGAAACGUUGGUCGGUUUGGCGGGCGAGUUUCUAUUAAAAGUGUAUGACGCCUUGUCCUCCGCGCGUCCACCUAAUUGAUAAUGUAUUUACAAAUUCCGCGCACCAUCUAAUGACAUCAUGUUUUGAAAUAAUACGUUUUCGCGGCAACUUGCCACUCGGGCUAGAACAUUUUUUUCUUUUCCUGUAUCAUUUAAAAGCGACCAACUCGGGUCCAAUCUGACCCAUUCCUUCUCGUCUCCUCGCGAGAAUCGCCGAAAGAACCGUGUUCGAAAUGCUAAAUUUACGUGUCCAAUGUCGCCUUGCUCCAUCUCGAAAUACUCUUGGAAGUCCAGCGAUAAUGUUUCAAAUAUUGAAAAUAGGAACUGAAGAAUCAAGAAUCGUUUAGUCGUAUUAACAUGAAAUUUAAUGCUGUAUCUUUGAAACGAAGUGAUUCAGGAGGAUCUCCGAGAUCGUCAGAAAUCAAUUAACGAUUCUUUCAUUUUCUCCGCAAAGAAGUAUAUGAAAAUGAAAGAUCCUGAUGAUGGAAACUAGGUUGUUCUUGGUGAGUUGCCGUUCCAAAAAUAUCCAAUAGCGAACCACCGGCGGCGAAACGUGUCGCGGCACAUCGAAUCCUGCAGAACCCUGUUUAAAAUCUUUCCCAACUGGAACUCCGAGCAUCCGGAUCGCAGCUUGCGCGUUUUCUUCUUCAAGGCUGACGUACGAAAAAAUAAACGGCAGCCUAUCGUGACGAAUUAUCGAAUCGGUAAGGAAUUCAGCGAAAUUCUAUGAAACUUAGUAAUUCAGCCUUCGCUUCUGGAAAAAUCAAUUGGAACGAAUGAAUCGAAUGAAUCGACGCAUUGAUGGAGAGUUUAGGCAAGUUCCUUGAAAUUCGCAAUAGCGCUAGGAAUCCGCAGAAAUAACACAGAAAGAGGGAAAAUAACACGCUACGACCGAAGGCCGUAGAUCUACGCUCCGUAAGACGAAUCGUAGGCUCUAUCACUGAUUUUUCAAAAUGAUCGAAUUUCGAGUAACAGCGACGAAACGGUGAGGCGUUUGAUGAUUUACGCGAAGAACAUUCGUCAAACCGUGGAAACAUUUAUCUCGCUGCACGCGACAGGUGGUGGAUAUAAAUUAAAGAUAGAGGCAGCUCUAGCUUUUUCCCUUCCGCAAAAUCGCGGAAAAAUUUUUCUCCUCGGCUACAUUUUUUCUUCGGCAACGUACGACGACUGUUCAUAGGUGCAAUAAAAUGUAUUUAUACCGCGAAGCUCCAGGGAUGUACGAAAAGACAUUCGCUAUAUUUACUGCAAUGUCGAGGAAGCUGCUCUCGCGAGGUCGAAACUUUAGAUGCUCGGAAAAGUUGUAAAUAACCCGCGGAAUUGUAACAGAUUUAUAUUAGAAAAAUGAAAAAAAAAAAAAAAUAA